rnacentral:rRNA from 1 species
UAUCCUGUCUGAAUAUGGGGGGACCAUCCUCCAAGGCUAAAUACUCCUGACUGACCGAUAGUGAACCAGUACCGUGAGGGAAAGGCGAAAAGAACCCCGGCGAGGGGAGUGAAAAAGAACCUGAAAUCGUGUACGUACAAGCAGUGGGAGCACAGGUUUACCUGUGUGACUGCGUACCUUUUGUAUAAUGGGUCAGCGACUUAUAUUCUGUAGCAAGGUUAACCGAAUAGGGGAGCCGGAGGGAAACCGAGUCUUAAUUGGGCGUUAAGUUGCAGGGUAUAGACCCGAAACCCGGUGAUCUAGCCAUGGGCAGGUUGAAGGUUGGGUAACACUAACUGGAGGACCGAACCGACUAAUGUUGAAAAAUUAGCGGAUGACCUGUGGCUGGGGGUGAAAGGCCAAUCAAACCGGGAGAUAGCUGGUUCUCCCCGAAAGCUAUUUAGGUAGCGCCUCGUGAAUUCAUCUCCGGGGGUAGAGCACUGUUUCGGCUAGGGGGCCAUCCCGGCUUACCAACCCGAUGCAAACUGCGAAUACCGGAGAAUGUUAUCACGGGAGACACACGGCGGGUGCUAACGUCCGUCGUGAAGAGGGAAACAACCCAGACCGCCAGCUAAGGUCCCAAAGUCAUGGUUAAGUGGGAAACGAUGUGGGAAGGCCCAGACAGCCAGGAUGUUGGCUUAGAAGCAGCCAUCAUUUAAAGAAAGCGUAAUAGCUCACUGGUCGAGUCGGCCUGCGCGGAAGAUGUAACGGGGCUAAACCAU